GCCUGGGUGGCUCAGUCGGUUAAGCGUCCGACUUUGGCUUAGGUCAUGAUCUCACAGUUCGUGGGUUCGAGUCCCACGUCGGGCU
rnacentral:tRNA from 1 species